AUAAUGAAUUGGAGGGGAGCGGUGGGGCACGAUUCAGUCCACUGCACACCGUUCUCCUCUCCAGACCUCUCACUGGCAAGUCCUUUCAUCUCAAUUUCAGUUCUGUGAGGCCGUCCUACUAUUGUCUAUCACCCUGUUUGAUUUUUUUGUAGCCUCAUCAUUUAUUCAUUACAGUUUCUUAAGUUCUUUUUUUUAGGGAGCUUGUCAUUGCCUAGAAGAGUGCUGGGCACACAAUAGUGAUACUGAAUAUACAACUAAAAUCAUGUAAUAUAGCACAUGAGAUUCUUAAUGCUAAAAUUAAGACUUUUUAACAUGAAAAAUGCUCUUAAGGGCAGAAAUGAAGCAAAUUUCAGGCAAGAUGGCAGACAAGACUGAAACGGAUUCAUCCAUCAACUGCUACAGACUUAAAAAACAAAAUAUGCCCAAUGCAAAGCUGAGCUCAGGAAAUCCUCAGAUGCUAGAGAUAAAGACAAAAUCCAGUUGCAGAAGUGAGUUCCAGGUGAUGCCAGGAGACCCCAGGAAGUAUCAGAUUAGGUCACAAAACUAGGAAUAAGGUUUUAAUGUCUUCAGAAAAACAGAGCAUUUGGUGAGAGAAGGGAACUAAUCCGAGACUCCCGCAUACAACCAGGACACUUGAAGGGCUGCCUCACCUGUGAAAAAGAAACUGGAAAAAUCUCUUCAAAUCUGUCUGUGGAAACAGAAAGACAGCCUGGUGUUUGACAAAGCUCUCGGUGGGACAAACCUCCUCUGAGAAAUGGAAACCUAGGAAAUCAAAAGCCCAGAAAUUAAGGGAAAGCAUUAGUCUCAGAUAAUGAAAAGGAAACCCUUGGGGCCCGGGCCAAAGCAAAUGUAAAAACAUGAACACUUGCAUAAUCUCGUACAUGGGACUCACAGAAAAUGCAACCCCUAAUAUAGAUGAGCUCGCAAUGAAAAAUUAUCCACCACUGUGGCAAUGCAGUCACCAAAAGGAAGACUCAACAGACCAAUGAGCAUAGACACGAGCUGUGGAGUAUGAUCAGCUUGUCGAAAGAAUGAAUCAAUGACACUCUGUCUUCGUGGAGAGCAGCCUGGGUGUGGAAUCAGGCACCCCCGGGUUCAAAGCCAUCACUGUGAUUGAAGAACAGAAGUCAUUCGUGAAGGACACAGCACACACAGCCCAGAGAGCUCGCAGGUUAAAACUGCACAUGGAGCAAUGUCUGCCAGCCAUUCAGGGUACUUCAAAAUAGGUCAGAAUACGUUUCCAGAAAGUGACACCUUCUUUUUGGGUUUGCGUAUAAUAAUAAAUCUAGGGGAUAAGAAC
rnacentral:lncRNA from 10 species